rnacentral:rRNA from 1 species
CAGUCGCCGCGGUAAUACGUAGGGUGCAAGCGUUAAUCGGAAUUACUGGGCGUAAAGCGUGCGCAGGCGGUUCGUUAAGACAGAUGUGAAAUCCCCGGGCUUAACCUGGGAACUGCAUUUGUGACUGGCGGGCUAGAGUAUGGCAGAGGGGGGUAGAAUUCCACGUGUAGCAGUGAAAUGCGUAGAGAUGUGGAGGAAUACCGAUGGCGAAGGCAGCCCCCUGGGCCAAUACUGACGCUCAUGCACGAAAGCGUGGGGAGCAAACAGGAUUAGAUACCCGUGUAGUCCCUGUCCCUUAUAC